rnacentral:rRNA from 1 species
GAUGAACGCUGGCGGCGUGCCUAAUACAUGCAAGUCGAGCGAACGGACGAGAAGCUUGCUUCUCUGAUGUUAGCGGCGGACGGGUGAGUAACACGUGGAUAACCUACCUAUAAGACUGGGAUAACUUCGGGAAACCGGAGCUAAUACCGGAUAAUAUUUUGAACCGCAUGGUUCAAAAGUGAAAGACGGUCUUGCUGUCACUUAUAGAUGGAUCCGCGCUGCAUUAGAUAGUUGGUAAGGUAACGGCUUACCAAGGCAACGAUGCAUAGCCGACCUGAGAGGGGGAUCGGCCACACGGGAACUGAGACACGGUCAAGACUCCUACGGGAGGCAGCAGUAGGGAAUCGUACGCAAUGGGCGAAAGCAUAACGGAGCAACGGCGCGUGAGUGAUGAAGGUCUUCGGAUCGUAAAAAUCUGUUAUUAGGGAAGAACAUAUGUGGAAGUAACUGUGCACAUCUUGACGGUACCUAAUCAGAAAGCCACGGCUAACUACGUG